rnacentral:tRNA from 1 species
AGCGAGGUGGGGCAGUCAGGAGUGCCCGGAGGGCUCAUAACCCUCAGGUCGAUGGUUCAAAAAUCCUGCGGAUGAUAUCCGCGGCUCUGGAAGUCCAUCCCUCGCUA